rnacentral:rRNA from 1 species
UACAGAGGUCUCAAGCGUUGUUCGGAUUCAUUGGGCGUAAAGGGUGUGUAGGUGGCGCCGUAAGUCGGGUGUGAAAUUUCGGAGCUUAACUCCGAAACUGCAUUCGAUACUGCGGUGCUUGAGGACUGGAGAGGAGACUGGAAUUCAUGGUGUAGCAGUGAAAUGCGUAGAGAUCAUGAGGAAGACCAGUGGCGAAGGCGGCCGGCUGGGGGUGACCUGACGCUGAGGCGCGAAAGCGUGGGGAGCGAACCGG